rnacentral:tRNA from 1 species
CCCUUGUGGAGGAGGACGCCGAAGGUGGGGCUAAUGACUGGGGUGAAGUCGUAACAAGGUAGCCGUACCGGAAGGUGCGGCUGGAUCACCUCCUAACAGGGAGACAACAAAAUGUUUAAUAUUAUUAUUUUGUCACCUUAGGUCGAUCGGUAUCUCACGUUCUUAAUUUAUUAAGAAUUUCAUUUUCUAAGUUUUUCUAGGUCACACCCAUUAUUUUUCCUGGGCCAUUAGCUCAGGUGGUUAGAGCGCACCCCUGAUAAGGGUGAGGUCCCUGGUUCAAGUCCAGGAUGGCCCAUAUCUCUAUGUUGGGGGUAUAGCUCAGUUGGUAGAGCGCCUGCUUUGCAAGCAGGAUGUCAGCGGUUCGAGUCCGCUUACCUCCACUGAUUACCACCUCUUCCAUGAUUUGUAGAAAUGAAAUAUUACGGCCAGUCCGAAGUUGUUACUUUAACCCUUGUGGAGGAGGACGCCGAAGGUGGGGCUAAUGACUGGGGUGAAGUCGUAACAAGGUAGCCGUACCGGAAGGUGCGGCUGGAUCACCUCCUAACAGGGAGACAACAAAAUGUUUAAUAUUAUUAUUUGUGCGAAUGCAUUAAUAACAAUUCUAUUAAGCUGAUGCUUCAAUUUUUUGAAGUUAUUGGUCAAGCUACAAAGGGCUCACGGAGGAUACCUAGGCACACAGAGGCGAUGAGGUCAAGCUGUUUCCUGAAGGGUGAGGUCCCUGGUUCAAGUCCAGGAUGGCCCAUAUCUCUAUGUUGGGGGUAUAGCUCAGUUGGUAGAGCGCCUGCUUUGCAAGCAGGAUGUCAGCGGUUCGAGUCCGCUUACCUCCACUGAUUACCACCUCUUCCAUGAUUUGUAGAAAGGAAAUUUUUUGUGUUGUGAUCAUUAUUCUGAACGAAUCUAGCUUCCUAAUGAACCCAUUAAGAUGCUGGACUCAUUGAAUUAAUUUCAUUGUUUUCAGAGAACCUUGACAACUGCAUAGAUUAUUUUAAAGACAAUAAGCAUCUUUUAUGGUGCAGAUUUAUUAUUUGUGCGAAUGCAUUAAUAACAAUUCUAUUAAGCUGAUGCUUCAAUUUUUGAAGUUAUUGGUCAAGCUACAAAGGGCUCACGGAGGA